rnacentral:rRNA from 1 species
UACGUAGGGGGCAAGCGUUGUCCGGAAUCAUUGGGCGUAAAGCGCGUGUAGGCGGCUCGAUAAGUCUGCUGUGAAAGUCCAGGCUCAACCCUGGGAUGCCGGUGGAUACUGUCGAGCUCGAGUCCGGAAGAGGCGAGUGGAAUUCCUGGUGUAGCGGUGAAAUGCGCAGAUAUCAGGAGGAACGACCAAUGGCGAAGGCAGCUCGCUGGGACGUGACUGACGCUGAGACGCGAAAGCGUGGGGAGCAAACAGG